rnacentral:rRNA from 1 species
GAGAUAGCUGGUUCUCCCCGAAAGCUAUUUAGGUAGCGCCUCGUGAACUCAUCUCCGGGGGUAGAGCACUGUUUCGGCUAGGGGGCCAUCCCGGCUUACCAACCCGAUGCAAACUGCGAAUACCGGAGAAUGUUAUCACGGGAGACACACGGCGGGUGCUAACGUCCGUCGUGAAGAGGGAAACAACCCAGACCGCCAGCUAAGGUCCCAAAGUCAUGGUUAAGUGGGAAACGAUGUGGGAAGGCCCAGACAGCCAGGAUGUUGGCUUAGAAGCAGCCAUCAUUUAAAGAAAGCGUAAUAGCUCACUGGUCGAGUCGGCCUGCGCGGAAGAUGUAACGGGGCUAAACCAU